rnacentral:rRNA from 1 species
GGCUCAGGAUGAAUGCUGGCGGCGUGCCUAAUACAUGCAAGUCGAGCGGUAACAGGGCUUCACCGUUCCUGACACACCUAGCGUGCUAUCGUAGGUUGUAGUUCGAGGGAACAGUGAAGCUGCUGACGAGCGGCGGACGGCUGAGUAACGCGUGGGAACGGACCCCAAACUGAGGGAUAACUAGUCGAAAGAUUAGCUAAUACCGCAUAUGAUCUUCGGAUUAAAGGAUUUAUCCGGUUUGGGACUGGCCUGCGUACGAUUAGAUAGUUGGUAGGGUAACGGCCUACCAAGUCGACGAUCGUUAGAUGGUUUGAGAGGAUGAUCAUCCAGACUGGGACUGAGACACGGCCCAGACUCCUACGGGAGGCAGCAGUAGGGAAUCUUUCACAAUGGGCGAAAGCCUGAAUGGAGCAACGCCGCGUGCAGGAUGACGGCCUUCGGGUUGUAAACUGCUUUUAUAACCGAGAAAUAUGAUGGUAGGUUUUGAAUAAGGAUCGGCUAACUACGUGCCAGCCGCCGC